rnacentral:lncRNA from 1 species
GCCGAAAGGGAGGAGGGAUUCAGGUGAAACGACGACGUUUGCUUGAGGGUAGGUUCGGCUUGAUUUGGAUCGGAUGGAGUUGACGCGGAGGUGGUCUUGGAGGUGUUGGAGGAACUUGUCACCGACUCCUCCGGUCGCGUUGUUAUUAGGUUGUGGAGGAGGAGGGGGUGCAUAGACUUGUGCGCCUUUGCAACCUUCUGCAAGAUUUAAACUUCGCAUUGUGGUGAAUAGAUUAUGCUGAUGCUGCAUCCUUCAAUCAAGCGUAAACCCAGAUCGAAAUGAACACAAAUUCGAUUUCAUAACCGCUUAAUUUUUGAAGAUCUGAGGAUUCGAUCAAAACAAUAGAAAUCAAAGAUUUACAAUUACGCCAAGAUUGGAUCACGGAGUCCGUGAAACCUCUAAUCGAGAAAAAAAAAAGGAAGUAAAGAAAAAUUAAUUUGUAUUCACUAAUUUUCACGAAAGACGGAAACUUAACGGAGCUCUCCUUCUCCUUCUUCUUCUCGGAGAUGGUGUUUUUUUUUUUUUUUGCAGUGCAAGUUUCGUUUUUUUUUUGGGGUUUGUUGACACUAAAAUUACGAAAAAUUCCGUAAAAAUAGAGAUGUGUAAUUGGAGGAAGAAUCUUCCUCCUCCGUUCGAUCCUUAGCUCUCUUCGUCUUCUCUCUCUGUUUGGUUUUUUUCUUUAUUGUUUUUUUUUACCCUUCGUUUCAGAGAUGCGUUCUAAAAUUAAUUUGUGGCACCUUUUUUACUCUUUUACUUUUGUCCUCUUGCUAGUUUAUUUCCAUUUCUUCAAUUUUAAUCUUAGGUUAUAUAUAGACCUUAUCUACUGCCGUUUUUCUUUAUUUCUUUCCUAGAUUUCGCGGCGCUUUUUUUUUACUUUUCCAAAUGUUGUAAAAUAUUAAUUACUAAAAUAUUUACUUUGAUUAGUUUAUUUGCAGGAUAUUUUAUUAUUUUUACCAACAAAUUAAAAUUGUAGAAAAAGCCAGGAACUGUUUUGAUUGUCCAAUAAAUACAACAAACAAAUCUAUAAAUCAGUUAUCAGUUAUAAUCCGUUGUAUAGUUUUUCAUUCUUCAACCACGUAAUCCUUGUAGUUUGUCUACUAGUUGGCCAUACCUGUAUUAAAUUCUGAAAAAGAGCCAUCAUAAAUCUGUCAGUAUCUUCCAUAUAACAAUUUAUCCGCAGAGAUUCGUUGUUAUCAUAUGAACACAUAAUCUAGUCAUUUAUCCCCCAGUAUUCAUUUGUUUGACGCUACCACAUACUGGUGUGGGUGUCCAUAAAACAAGACCCAAUGAUUUACUGUAAAAAAAAAAAAUCUCAAAGCCAACCAUAUUAUUUACUAUCAUCGAGGAUUUUUAAAUAAAAUAAUUUUCCUGACAGAACAUAUAAAUAAAAAUGAAUUAUUAUAUGUGCUGUUUGAUAGCCGGCAAAUAGAUUAUGCCAACCAACAUUGAGCGAGCGGCGAAGUCAUGUCAACACGUUUUACUGUUUAGUUUAUGAUUAAGGAAGUAAGCUUAUUGAAAUCUGCAUAAUAAGACGCUAUGAUUAAGUCUGAUAUUGCUGGUUUGAUUUGGCAUAAGAAUUAUUAUUAUAUACAUAAAUAUAAUUCCUUGGAACAUCUAUAAUUGAGAUGAGAUGAGAAUGAAGAAAACACAUAAGGUCAUGUGGGUGAGACAGCUCAGAAUGUCGUUUUAGUUAAAGAGGAAACUUUUCAUCCAGAAGCACGGAUCGUACUAUUUACACAGUUUUGUACAUUACCACCACCAAAAUCACUUGUCUAUUUCCCUAUGCCCCCACCUUCUAUAAUUUAAGGUAGGCCUGCGGGCGGAUUCGGUUUAAUUGGAUUUGAAGAAAGUCUAUUGAACCUAACCGAAUAAAAUUAAAAUGGAUUAACCCAAUCACUCAAUAGUCAAUACUCGUUUUCAUUUCUGACACAACCUUAACACCAAGAUGUGUAUUUUCCCGAUUUGAUCAUAUGUAAUUGAAUUUUACAGUGAAAGUUAGAGCAUAUGGGAAGACAAUCCGAAAAUCUAAAAUCGAAACUUGAACUGAACUUCAUACAAACCUCAGGCGUACAAAAACAUGUAUUCAGACUCAGACACUGAGAGAUUUAUAAUAACAUUCCAAGGAUCAUAAAACCAAUAAUUUUUCUUAAACAUUUUCUCAUUUAACAACAGUAAUAAAAAGGAACAAGAUAAUUUUUUUAUUUAUUUUUGGAUACGUAACAAUAAUAAAAUGGUCAGUCAAAUUUCUCCCAGUCUUGAGUUACAUUAGCAGAAGGAGAAGCUGGAGGAGGAGGGUUCAAACUUCCAACACCGUUUCCGAAUGUUUCCCACUCAGUGCUUACGGCUGCAGCUUUGCUCUGAUCCACAAAUGGGUUUGAACAUCUCCCCUUCAACGUAUCCACAGCUUCCUGCAACUUUUGCACUCUACGAACCUGCAACACAAACCCCCGCCCCCAAUCAAAUCUAUAUCCCUGCUCGGUUAACAACUAAAUAUAGAAAGAAGAGACUGUAUCAUAACAUAACCAAAGUCUCUACAUUUUACCACUAACUGAGAAACAACUAUAAAAGAAAUCCAAGUGUACAUCUACUAAAGUCUACAUUUAGAUCAUUGCAACUCAUCCCAAAGCCACAUAGCUCACAAGUACUGAGAUAAAAUAUAGUUUAUGAUACAGACAGGUGAAAACUGUACGAAAUGUAAAGCUAACCUCUGCCUUUCGCAAUACUCUAGCUUCUCCUUCUGCCUCUAUACCAUCCAAUUUAAGCAACUGCCUCAUGAGAAGCUCAGCAGUCAUGUCAAACUCCUCCACCGCAACUUUCGUCCCUCCAUUAACAGAAACUUCCAAAGCAACAACCUAAUUUUUUUUCAAACCACAAUCCUUCAUUCCCACUUUUCCUACAAGUAACAAAACCAAAAAAGAUUGCGUCUCUAAAAAAACUCACCUUAUCUGAGAGCUUAUCAAUCUCUCCAGAGACAGCUUUAACUGCAGCAACAGACUUAGCCAUCUCUUCAGUCAUCACUGGAGGCUGUUCAACUUGUUCAACUCUCUUCUUAGGUUCCUCCACAAGGACAACCUUAGACCCAUCCUUAACACCAGAAGCUUGUAAUUGCUCAGCGUCAUCUUUCUCAACUCCCCUGAACAAGAUCUUCAGAUCAGCAGCCUCUAAUCCAGUUUUCUGGACAAGGGCUUUCUUCACAUCCCCUGUUUAAACAACAUCCAGAGUCUAAAGAUCACAACUUUAAAUUGUAUUAACACAAACCCAAAUAAGGAGUUUUCGUUUGUUCAUUUGAGGUUUUUACCGAAAGUGGCGUGAGCAGAAACGGGAAGAUCGUGGUGCGAGGAGCCAUGGGAGACGUUGAUCCUGAUGGUCUGAACGAAAACGGCGGGAUGUUGAGGGUCGGAGGAGGAGGGAGAGUCGUCUCUUCGUUGGACGAGCAUACCACCAGGUCUCACUUCCCACUCCGAAUCGUCGGUUGAGUUAUUCAUCAUCGUCGUCGGAGCAAGUGGAAUGGGAUUAAACCCCCCUUUUCGAGGUCGAGACUAGGGUUUUCAACUCUUCCUUGUUCUCAUGUGAUACGAAUUCUCCACAUCUACGGGGGUUUUUCAACUUUUUUGCUCAACUUUGGACCACAAACCAAAACCCGGUUCUAGAUCUAGUAAACCGGACCAGAUGGAACGGGUCGGUCGGUAUAUUGGUCGUACACAUUAACUGAUUGUUGGUUGAUUUGGAAUUGAAGCAAAAGGAGCGGCUCUUAGACAGGACUGUGCUGGGCCGGCAUAACCGCCACAACACAUGGAGUGUUCAAGAAAAAGAAGAAUCAUCAUGAGCAAAAAAAAAGAGAGCAAAGAUAUUGGAAAAAAUCAUGACUACAAAUACUCAAAUGCUGAAAGGGACUGAUUGAACCGAAACUGAGUUACCAGGAAGGACUUGUCCUGUAACCGAACAGGGUUCAGUCUGAAACAGAGUAGCAGGUAGUGUAAUGGGUGGGUUGUCCCAUAUUUUAAGAUGGAUCAAGCACACAGUAUCACUCAGGGAAACGCAAUAGAGCUGAUGGAAGUUGGAAACAGCAGCGACAAAACCGAAGUGGGUUCAAUCCCAUUCCAUAUUGUCUUGUUUUUGAUGACUCAAAUCAUAAACCAUCCACAAUCAUUUUUUUCAUUGCACUGAAAUUUGAAAGACCAUCCCAGGCCAUGAGAUGCAAAUUUGAGUAACAAUUGAUACAACAACUAUACAGUCUACACUGUGAUCAAGAACCACGCCCAAAGGGGUUAGUGCCAAGAAAGAGAGGCCAAAUACCUCAUAAUACUAAGGUUAACAGAUUUAAUAUGCAAUUCUAGAGGCAAUAAACUUUUCAAAAGUACAAACUUUGAAUUCUUCAGAGCCAGAAAUUCCUAGCUGGAAUGCUUUAACAACAAGCUCCACCAUAACCGAAAACUCUGGAAGAUGUGUUCCCAACUCUUGUAUUUAGCAAGGCUAGUAAUAAUAAGAACAAGGUCACACAGACGCCUACUUUGGUAAUAAGUUUCUGAUACUAAGCUUCACUAGGUAAAUCUAAUCUAUGUGCGUAACAACAACACAUCCAAAAACAACACGAGGAGCCAAGCACUCCCUCAUGAAAGUGUUUACUUUAUUUGAUCAAAUAUAACAAGAAAACAGAUUAGCUCAAGCCUUGUGGAAUCAAACAAAGCUCUAGUUUAGUGUAAUCUCCUUCCUCCUCCUAUUUCUCAAAAAUACUCAAAAUCAAAUCAAUGUUUUCCAGAAACAAAAACAUUCCUGAUACUCCGGAAUCUAUAAGAAUCAAUUAUAUUUCAUAACAUGACCAAUACUCAUCUAAGAAGCAACCUUAGCAGCUUCUUCACUCGCGUGAUUCGCUUCAAUAAUCUUCUUAUUCUUCUCAAUCGCCGCCGCAACCUCCUGAGGCAUAUACUUCUCAUCAUGCUUAGCCAAAACCUCAGUCGCCGAGAAGAAACAAUCAAGCCCCCUCGCCUUCCCGGAGACAGGCUUCGUCGACACCUCCUUCCUCACCUCAUCACUAAACGGCUUGAUAAAACCUUCCACCACAACAGAGUGACCUUCCCUGAACAGAUCAGGCAAGGAGCCUUUGUACCUCACCAGAAUAUCCGUAAUCAGAUCCGUGAUCACGAACUCCAUCUCCUGAGACGCCGCGGGCUGAGCCACGCUGCCUUCGAGGACCAGGCCCCCGAGCCUGAACUUGUUCUUCGUCGGAUUCGCCGCGAAUUUCUCCAUGGCGUCGGAGGGGGUUAGGUAGAAGACGAGCUGGUCUUGGAACUGGUUGAGGACGAUCACCACGAAGCCCGCGAUGCAGCUGAACGUUAGCGCGUAGGUCCAUAGGCGGCGGUUCUGCAUCUGGCGCGCUUUCGCUCCUAUGUCGAUCUUCUUGGGGCGGGCUGGGCCGCGGCGGAGGGUGGAGAGAGAUCGGAGGAGGGUGUGGGAAGAGAGUCGCGAGAGAUCUGGUGAGGCGGUGGUCAACGAGUGGAGGAUCGUCGGCGGAGAUUCGAAGAUUUGAGGAUGUCUUUGAGCAGAUCGGAGGAUCUGAGAACUCCGACGGAGCAUGAAUCUGGCCGCCAUGUUCUCGUGGGGGAAUCAGAUUCCGAGAAAGUUCGUGAGGUUUAUGGAGAAAGUGGCCGCCACUGACUAUGGUCCACGUCACGAAACCUCUGCGUGGUUUAGAGGGUUGCUUGUAUCGACUUAUUUUGACCAAUAUUUGAUAUAUUUGGUUAACAUAAGCACAGCCCAGUUGUUUGGUUCAAGUAAUUUAUUUUUUCAUUAGUUUUAGUUUUCGGUUAGAUUAUGAUUUAAUUUUCUUCAAAAUUCAGAUAAUCUUUGUUAAAUUUGGUUUUCGGUUAAUUCAGUUAGUUCUUUUAAUUCAUACAUAAUUUUGGUUUGAUUUGGUAUAAAUUGGUAUGAUUUAUGAUUUAGUUGGGCCUUUUAUUGAACUAGCCAACUACCAAACGAAUCAAUAACGGCCGUAGGAAUAAUGUUAGUUACUUAUAUGCAAACUUGCAAAUAAAGAGGCAUCAGGUACAAUCAGUUCAAUAUUAAUGUAAAGCUGGGUGACUUGUUGCCAACUUAAACCUAAAUGAAUUAGAUCUACUUUGUUGGCUACGCUAAACUAUAACUGAAAUCCCUAGGAAUCUUUGAUUCGAGACUGAGAUUGGCACGGUCAUGACCUAAGUCGACCAGAACAAUGAUGAUGAACAUUCAGACAUGGGUUUUGUGCAAAAGGACACAAAUUGAUCAAGUAUUGUCCUGCUCUGUUUUUUUUUUCUCUACGAAGAAACUCUCCGAAACUCAAACAUUACAAAGACCUGAAACUUCCCAAAAUUCUUACGAAAGAAACAAAAGAGAGAUAGAUCUCCUUCAUUCUUGAGCAGUGCUACUUGCUUCCACUGGCUCAGCCUCAGUUGAGGCCUCUCCUGCCUUCUUCGCUGCUGCAAAAACACAAUCAUAAGCCGUCAUGAAUCUUUUUUUUAUCUCAACCAUCAAGUAAUGUUGAUUUCAUUGAGUCUGCAAAAUUUAUGUUCUUAGUUUCAUACCUUUCUUCUUCUUUCCACCACCCUUCUUCUUCUUGAUACCCAAGGCUAACCACCCUUUGAUCUCAGGGUCAUCGAUGGUCUUCGUAGGUUGAAGCUCUUGAAGAGUAUGUGAAGUGAUCCUAUCUGAUCCAUUUGGCAUCAGCAAAACUGUGAAUUUAAUCUGGGCAACAAAAUCACCUGUUGAAGAAACAAAAUACACCAUGAGUCACGUUGCCAAGAUUUAUCACGUUGUAAGUAUUUAAUGGAGCAAAACCUUUUAUCAUCCUUACCAGGCUUCUCGUAGAGAACAGGAUAUGGCUGUAGAUGACCAUGGUUCACACACUCCACAAGUCCAAGACGUGCCCUCUUCUCCUCAAGUGACCUGUAUUGAUCGUAUACACUCAAACAACAUUAAAAAGCUGCAAUUAUAUUAAAAAGAUAUAAACGGCUUAACAAAGUACAAAAGACACCUUGCAGUGAAUGGCAUAUGGGGGAACUUCUCUUUAAUCUCGCUGAUUAUGAAUCUGGAGGCCUUCAUCUUCAACUGAUAGUUAACAGCUGCAUCCUUCUUGUAAACAGUUGUUUGCUUCUCGUCUAAAAGCUUUGGCUGCAAAUUGAAAGUGUAUGAGAACUAUGGCAACUGAAGAAGCUUUGCAAAUUGGUCAGCAAGAUGUAAUCAACAAAAAGCAAAUUUACCUUGCCAUCACCAGUGCUUGCCACAAUAUCUAUUGCAUAGACUUCAUUCUCUUCAAACUCAGCAUCAUCGACUCUUGUUUCUGGAGUGGAUACACUUAGGAAACUCUUGCUUGCAUCUAUCACGUUCUGUUUCAUCUGGUGGGAGAUAACCCCUUCCACAAUUUUGCAGUCAUAAGCUUCAGCCACCUUCUGAAUAGCUUCAGUGACAGCAUGGUUCUGCCACAAGAAUAUAAAAAAAUAUAUAUUCAAUUGUCUUGCUUGCAGCGCGUUGUAGGAAUAAAUAAGAAACAACCAAACUCAAAGGCAGUAACAUUUUACUAAUCCCAAUAUCAGAGUAACUACGACAUAAGAGCCUCAUGUGGAUUUUUACUAAUCCCAAUAUCAGAGUAACUAUGACAUAAAAGCCUCAUGUGGAUGUGAAUCCAUAGCAUUCUUAGUAAAUAUUCAUCCUUGGGGAAAUGUAAAUGAGAAAACUAACCAGACUCAGCAAAACCAAUAUCUUAUUCUAGAAACACGAGUGAAAAAGAAAACAAAAACAGUAAGAUGUGUUGAGAAAAGUUGCUAUCACUAAACCUACUAAAAACUAGAAUUAAAAAAAAGGUUCCCAUCAGAGUAACUAUGACAAAAUAUCCAUAGCCAAAAAUAAGAGUUUCAUCAUCUGGGGGUUUGCAAAACGUUAUCAAUCAUUUAAAAAACCAACAACCAGCUUAUAGUUUCAAACUUUCAUGUAAGAGUAGCACCAUAUAGAUAACUACUGGUUACCUUCUUCCCAGGACGUACGAGCCUCAAGGCAACUUCAGCGGCAGUAUUAGCAGCUGCAAUAACAUCAGCUUUGCGUCCAGUAACGGGCCCUUCUUGGAUAACAUGUGUGUGGGCAACAAGAGCAAUGAACCCAUCAAUAUGACAUCCCAUAUCACUGUAAAUGGACAAAGCAAAAACAGCAAACAGACAUAAAACAGUUGAUUCGCAGAGAAACAUCUAAAAGGGAUAGAGACAAAACUUACAUUUUGACCAUAUCACCCUCUUCCAACACAGUCUCGUCGCUGGCGAGGGGAGAGAAAUGACCAACAGUGUUGUUAACGGAAACACACGUGGGAAAAGCGACGCCUCGAUCAAUCUUCUUCUUGACAUUCUUGUACAUGCUCCCUGCUUGCCUUUUUUUUUUUCACAUAGAAAAAACACACACACAUAUGAGAGUAAUGACAUCUUAAAAAGACUAUGAAAAUAAAUACUAACUCAUUGAUAAAGGCGUCUCCCUUCUCGCAGAUAUCGACAAUCUUAGCUUUUGGCUUGCAUUCAGCUAAGACCACCUGCAACGCCUCUUCAAUUUCCAAAUAAAAAAACCGUGAGUAACCUGACCGAAAGAGAGAGAGAGUAUGCGUUCUUACUGUUGACGAUCUCAGCGGCGCUCUUGUACUUGGUGACGACUUCAGGGGAGGUGAGAUCCAGCUCCUUCUCGUCUCUCUCAUCGUCUGAACUCAUCUUUAGCGGCUCUCGAGGAUUGAAACAGGAAGGAAAAGGUUAGGGUUUAGAGAGAGAGAGGUGUGAUUUUGGGUAAAAUGAAAUUGGCGAGAAGCGCAAUGAAGGUGGGUGGUGGCUCAAAUAGCACUAGGGUUGCGCUUGUUUGUUAUGUCAUCUCUUGUUAACGACGCCGUUUUGGGUGUAAGUCCCCCUCUUUUUGUUUAUACGUUUCUGAAUUGCGACCUCGCGUUACUGUCUUUUGAGUCUAGGAGGGGCCGAAUGAAAGGGUUGUGGUCACUUAACAUGUACGUAGACCAGCCCACUAAAGAGUAAAGUUGAAUACUAACUCUUCUACUUUACUUUCUUUCGAGUCUAUGUGUGCGUGGAUAUAAUAAGUUAUAAGUUACUUGCGGCAGAGUUGCACCGGUCUUGAAGUUUUUUGAGGUUUAUAUGCGGUCGUGGUUUGAAAUGUGGUUUGAAGAUUGAAAAAUCCGAAUCGUAGAAGACACAAAGAAACGCAUUGCCGCGGAAGCACUUACAUAGCCUUGAUACAACCAGAGUUGACUUGUUUCUAGUGAUGGUUGGUACAUACAUUAUAUUUUACAGCGUCUUAAGACUAGUCGAUGCCACCACUUUAACCAAAUUUAUGGUUCGCAAUAUAGCGCAUUUACUUUGUGGCCAAAACUCCACUAGUGACUUGAUGCUAAUGCCGUCACGAAUAUACCAAGCACCAAGAACGGCUGUGCGCUAGCCUGUAGUAAUCAAGCAGCGUAUUAUCAUCAAAAGACCUAUCAGCUUUCAAGUUCUUUAGAUAUUUCAAAAUAAAACAAACUCUACAUGUCACCAAUCUGAGUUUUAUUACUAUGCGCACUAGAUGAUGACUUACCUGAUACUUGACGUCGUAUUUGACAGGGUCCUUGAGAAAGUAUUUAAACUGCAGUUUCAACAAGAGUGUAAUAGUCAGACGAGUGACAAGAACGUGUAGUAGCUAGUUUGGAUAUGAUACUGUAAUAUGUCUUUACCUGGAACACAAUCUGUGGAAUAAUCAAAGCAAGCAGCGCCAACGCGUAAUAAGGUUUGCCAGAUGCUAAUAGAUAUCCUGCAACCAGAUACAGAAUUAUUAGCUCAUUUAUCUGCGAUCCCUAGAAACCAAGGAUAUUCCUUCAGCUUCAUUGGACUGUGUUUUUAACCGGUAUAAAAUAUCUAGUUGAUAAGAUCAAGUAUAUAGAAGCCACAGCUGAACGAAAUUCUACAUACCGGCAACUGAGAGCUGAGUAACGUCUAUAGCACCAACGCAUAUCCAUUUUGCAGCUUCAGUGCCAAAAGCUACAGGGAGAGACUGAAGGCCCAUUGCUCUGUCUCCUUCAACACUUUUGAAGUCAUUAACAAUGGCUAUUCCCAACUGCAGUAUUACACAGUUACAUGAAGCAAAAUCAGGCUGUUAAAGAUAGCACAAAAGCAUCAUAAAAAGGUCCCAAGAAGAGUACCCCAGCUAUGCUGUACAAGAGUGUUAGAACGACGACGUCUGGUGUAAGAGUGCCAAACAAUGCUUGUCCAGCCCACCUAUCAAUCAAAUGACCACACAAAAAAAAAAAGAAUCAAUGAGAUGAGAACACGGUAAAUAUUGAUGCGCUAUAUUUUCUUACCAUGGCAAACUGAUAUAGCUUGCUCCAAGUGCAAAAUUUCCAACCCAUCCAUUUUGUUUUAGCUGCAAAGAGACCAGUUCAUGUAUUGAUAAGUUCUAAAUCCAAAUACAGACACAAAAUGUCUUGACACUACAACAAUUGAACUUAGGUGUAGAACAUACCUUCAAAGGUGGAGCAGAGUAUAUAUAAGAGAGCAAGGAUCCUCCCAAAGCAAGAUAGAACAAAGUAGGAGUUGUAUGCCCGGCCUGAAAAAGGAAGGUUUAGUCAUUCUGAUGUGCACUUUUAACUGCACUACAUACAUAAAAACCACCAACUUACCCACACAUCUAAAGUUCCAGCAAUUCCAAGACCUCCCAGUAACAGCACCCAGACUUGUGUAAUAACCUGAGUUGCAAACAAGAAGGAGAAAUGAUUAUCAAACAAACUAAUGUUUUUAAAAGCUGAAAAUGUUCUAUAUCAGUACCUCUUGCUCUGAUAUUGCUCCAGAUGGAAUUGGACGAUACGGCUCGUUAAUCGCAUCAAUAUCUCGAUCAUACCAGUCGUUGAUUGUCUAGAAAAGGACACUUGUUAGGUUGUAUUAGCAUAAGAACAACUCAGCUUUUUGUUCUACCAAAACCAGACCUGUGUAUAGCCAGUAAGACACGGGCCAGACAUCAACAUGCAAAGAAUCGACUUAGCAACAUCCUCUGGAGUCCAGUGGAAGUUCCCUACCAGAAGAAACAAAUAAUGAAGGAAGAAUAAUGUGGUGAAGACGUCAAAAAGAUUGUAAAAAAAAAAAAACAUAAGAAGACAGUGUUUUAUUCAUCUUCAAAGAUGUUCAUAUGUUACCUGAAGCAGCAGCACCACAGACAACUCCCCAAACUAAUGGAGGCCAAGUGACUGGCUUUGUAAGCUGUAGACGAAUCUUCCAUUUAUUCUGAACACACAUAUAAGUGAAAAGAUAACUUAACAUGCAGCAGCAUUCUCACAUAAUUUCCACCUAAAAUGUGAUGUUUUUGGUAGUUACCAACUCAACACCUAACACUAUGCAAGUCAACAUCACACUAUGUACAACUAUGACGAUUUUUUCUCAUUUCUAUUUAAAGAUGAUACAUCCAAACUUAAUUUCAUAUGCAUUGGAGAAAAAUAGAUUAAAGAAAAUAAUCGGAGAAGAUUACAGUCUCUUGAGCGGCUCCUUUGAUACCAAGAAGCUGGUUAAUGCUCGAACCACCACCACCGCCUGGUGCCUUUUCCGGUACCUGAGAUUUAACUGCCGUGGAAAUUCAAAAUCAUUAAACUUAACGAAAAAGUUAAGAGAAAAUGAAAAUGAAAAAUUCAAAAGAGCUACACAAACCUUUAUCAGUAUCAGUCUCCGCAGCACGCACAACCAAUCUCCGCCCUAUGUAACAAAAUCAAUUAGAAAUCGCAGGAACAAAAGCUCAGCAUCCAAUUAAGGAAACGGAAUGUACCAGAAGAUUCGAAGCCCGACGUGGACCAACCGUGGCGUCGACGAGUGAACUCGACGGGAUUUCGGAGGGACAGAACUCCUAGACGUUCGGCGGAGUUAACUCGGGAGGGGAGGAUGGAGGAGACGGAGUGGAGAAUGGAAGUCAUAGAAGCGGCGGGCGGAGAGAAUCGUCUACGGUGGCAGUAAGCCGGAGAAGGAGUAGUAUGAGUUUUUGGACGCUUUGCUGUUUCGGGGAAAUCAGUGGUUGUAGCUUACCGGCGAUAAGAGUCUACGUCACGGGUUUUGGCGGCCUCGUUUCGUUUGCCUUACAGCCACGUGGGGAGAUUCUAUUGGGUGAUCGUGUUGAACUAAAACGGACAUAUAAUAGAUAUUUUAGGCCCAUGUCGUAUGAGAAGCCCAUUAGUACGGACGAGGACGCGUGUGGGUAGUAGUCAAAUUUUUUUCUUUUAAUUUGGAUAUUUUAUUUUCGAAGUCUUUGAUAUCAAGGCAAUGAGUUUGAGCUUCUUGAGUGUCCUGACAAGUACGUCGCAAACCCAUUCAAUGGACAUUUUAAAACAUAAUUUAGUAUUAUUCCUUGAGUUAAUUUAAUGUGAGGAGACAAAUACAGCACGAAUCCAAACUGCAAUUAUGGUUUGUACAUGUCCCUUUAGAGGUCAAGUUUAUUUGACGAACUUUGUUCUCCACGGUACAUUACCAAAGUAAACUCACAGACAGAAUAACAACAAACACUGCACAACCUUAAAGACGGCUACGGCUCCGUGAAGCAGCAGGUUUGAAACUCGCAAUCCCUGUUACUUCCCUCGCCGUCACUAAGGUGUUUAUAUCGUAAGUCCCUUCAUAUGUAUAAAUGGGUUCAAGGUCACAGAAAGCCUGCAAUAUUUUUCCACAUUUUAGAGCUUAAACUCACUGAACAUUUUUCAUCAACAAAUAUGAAAGAUUUAGCGCACCUUUGCCACCAGAAAAUCUCCUACAAUUCCAUUUCCACCGAGUAAUUCUCGGCCUAACGAAGCAGUUUCCCUUGCCUUUGAUGAAAUCCAUGCCUAGUGAAAGCACAUGAUUGGUUUAUAUUAUACAAAUGAUCAUCAGUAAAUGUUCACUACUGAGCUAAUGUUUGAUUCCUCCACUUACUCAAGCUCAUAGCAUAGCUCAGUGAGUGUGUAUCAAAUAAUUAAUUAGCAAGGAGGAAACUAAAUGAUCUGUAAGCAAAAAAAAGGAUUGGUUGUUAUACCUUUCCUAAACUGGCUUGACCAGGAGUCAUCUGACCCGACUCAUAUAACUUGCAGAGGCGCCAACCCAUCAGAAACAUCGCUUGAACAUUACCCAGCAUCUUCACAAGCUUCUGUUGGUUUAUCUGGAAUGCAGCCAACGGUGCUCCAAACUGUUUCCUCUCCUUUAGAUACCUUCAAAAAAUAGGCAUUCCAUGGAAAUGUUUUUUUGGUAAGUAACAAAAUGAAUGCUCAUACAAUGUUACAAAAUGAAUGCUUCUCCGGUAAUACCUGUGACACAUGUCGUAGACUCCCAUUGAUACACCAAUUGGUUGCCAGGCCACCAUUACACGUGAGACAGCAAGGACCUAUUCAAGUGAAGCACAGAAAAACAGUUCAAUAUCACGGAGAAAAUAGGAAGCUAUGACGUUUUGUUUGUGAUAAAAUAUUGAAGACCAUUUCUGGAUCAUGUGUAUUCAUCACAACAGUACCUUGCUUGUGUCUUGAAAAGAAUUUAGUCCAGGUAACCGCUCCUCAUCAGGAACAAAGACAUUCUGUAGUAGAAUAUCUCCAUUUUGAACAAUACGUAAACCUAUUUUAUUUGGGAUCUUAGUAACCGUUAAGCCAGGCGCAUCUUUCUUGACUAUGAAUCUGCAAGACGGUAGCUCAGUAGUGAACAUUUACACAACAGCCCAGUAUGUUAUUGAUUAUGGUCCAUAUAAAAUUUAAUUCCCUAGUGCAUCCAGUCACAGAUCCACCUUAUUAACUUCAUUUUUGAGAAACGACCUCCAACCUUAAGAUAUAAAAUUUGAGAUAUCUAGUAAACCAAGAAUCUGACAUACCCAUUCACUUGGUUAGUUGUCGUAUUCCUAGCAAGGAUGAUCAACAGAUCUGCAAAGGUGCUGUUACCGAUCCAACGCUUUUGUCCCGUAAGUACCCAACCUCCUUCGACCUGAUGAAAUAGACAAUUGAAACAAGUCAAUAUUCUGGUAACCGCAGAAGAGGAUACAAGUGAAGGAAACAGUAAAACACCUUUGUGGCAGUUGUUUGUAGAGCACUUGCAUCACUUCCAUUGUCAGGUUCUGUCAAAGCCUUUAUACAUGUCCAAAUAUAUGUAAUGGUAUCAGCAUCAAGUUUACAUAACGCAAACACUUAUACAAGAGAUGAUGCAAAUCUUCUAAGUUCAAGAACCACGCACUCACCCAACAAGUCACAGUUUUCAUCUGAGCCAAAGAAGGCAAAUACUUGUGCUUCUGUGCUUCUGAUCCACAAAGUGCUGUUCUUGGAAAAAAGUUCAUAAGAAAUUAAGCUUAUGCAAACCAUACCAAUCUGUUUAUCACAAGCUAAGGACAUCUUUACCAAUAGUGAGCAUGCCCAAAGAGGUAUGCACCAAAUUAAAAGUCCCACAGCUUGCAUCAACUCUAGAUAUCUCUGCUGUUGCAAUGGCGUUGGCUGUGAUGGAGAGGCCAGGACAGCCAUAACCCUAAAAAGCCAGACCAAAUUAAAAAAAAAAACGAAUCUUCCAUCCACAUAUAAAAAAAACAGAAACAAAGCAUUUCAACAUACCUUAAUAGAGCCACCGACAACACCUAAAGCUCCAAGCUUUGGAAUGAUAUGGAAUGGAAACUCUGCCUUCUCCCAGUACUGAUGAUGAGUAAAAAUAUCAAAGAAAGAAGGAUGAUGUCACGCAAUAAUACUAUCAAAGUUAGCAAACAAACAAACAGGAAGAAGAUAGACACACCUCUGUCAUAAUCGGAGCAACUUCUUUCUCCAUGAACUCCCUCACUCUCUUCCGCACAGCCUGCUCCUCCGGAGUCAACAGUUCAUUGAAAUGGUAAUAGUCUGAAGCUGUAAUCAAGUAUAGGAAACACACAGAUUGAAGCAAAAGCACAACAAAACAUACAUAAUCUCUGAAAUAAAAAGUACUUACUGCAAGGUGGGAACUUAGAAGCUGGGGUUGCUUGAGGAAAUGCAACGGAUACGUCCAUAGCCGGCAAAUCGAAAUACGAACUCUUCACCUUCUUCUCAGCAUCAUCUACCAAUCCAAUUCCAAAAUCAAAAACCUCAAAUAAGAUUUCAUUUCCUAUACACUUCUGAUUCCGUAACACUACGCAAUCAUGAGUCCCUUUGGAUAUAUCUACAAAUGAAAGCAAUCGCGAAACAGGAAGAGAUAACAAAAGAUCAAAGCAGCAAGCAAAAGAAUAGCUGAAUCAGGAGAACGAAACAUGCAAAACCAUUAGAGAAAAGAGACGAUAAACGAACCUCGAUCUCUAGAUGAUGAGUUGGAUCGGAUGGAGUUGACGCGGAGGUGGUCUUGGAGGUGUUGGAGGAACUUGUCACCGACUCCUCCGGUCGCGUUGUUAUUAGGUUGUGGAGGAGGAGGGGGUGCAUAGACUUGUGCGCCUUUGCAACCUUCUGCAAGAUUUAAACUUCGCAUUGUGGUGAAUAGAUUAUGCUGAUGCUGCAUCCUUCAAUCAAGCGUAAACCCAGAUCGAAAUGAACACAAAUUCGAUUU